CCGGCCUGAGUCUUAGGUAUCCGUAGCGCCCUCCUUCUUCCUCCUCUUCGCUGAAUACAGCUCACGGUAAGUACUGGUUCACACAGUUCGUUCUCGAGGUGCUCACUCUCUUUCUCUUCCUCCACAGGCAACGGCUGGGACACAAAAGCACAGUUAAUUCGGCUUGGUUUUGCUCUCACCUCUUCGCUGAUUGCAGCUCACAGUAAGUACUGGUUCACACAGUUCGUUCCUUGGGUGCUCACUCGCUUUCUCUUUCUCCACAGGCAACGGCUGGGACACAAAAGCACAGUUAAUUCGGCUUGGUUUUGCUCUCACCUCUUCGCUGAUUGCAGCUCACAGUAAGUACUGGUUCACACAGUUCGUUCCUUGGGUGCUCACUCUCUUUCUCUUCCUCCACAGGCAACGGCUGGGACACAAAAGCACAGUUAAUUCGGCUUGGUUUUGC
ensembl:lncRNA